rnacentral:sRNA from 1 species
UAAUCCCUACUAGAACUAUAACUGGUCAUAGAAUGUGCAUUGAUUAUAGGAAGUUAAAUGCUGCAUCUAGGAAAGAUCAUUUUCCUUUACCAUUCAUUGACCAAAUGCUUGAACGUUUAGCUAAUCAUCCAUACUAUUGCUUUCUUGAUGGAUAUAGUGGUUUCUUUCAAAUACCAAUUCACCCUAAUGAUCAAGAAAAAACCACUUUCACAUGUCCCUACGGAACUUUUGCUUAUAAGAGAAUGUCAUUUGGUUUAUGUAAUGCUCCUGCAACAUUUCAGAGGUGUAUGACCUCUAUAUUUUCAGAUUUAAUCGAGGAGAUGGUGGAGGUUUUCAUGGACGAUUUUUCGGUCUAUGGCCCCUCUUUCUCCUCAUGUUUGUUGAAUCUUGGCAGGGUACUGACCAGGUGCGAAGAGACGAAUCUUGUUCUCAAUUGGGAAAAGUGUCAUUUCAUGGUGAAGGAAGGCAUAGUGUUGGGUCACAAGAUAUCAGAGAAGGGUAUAGAGGUUGACAAAGGAAAAAUUGAAGUGAUGAUGCAGUUGCAGCCACCAAAAACGGUGAAGGACAUCAGAAGUUUCCUUGGUCAUGCUGGGUUCUACAGAAGAUUUAUUAAAGACUUCUCCAAGAUAGCCAGGCCGUUAACCAGACUAUUGUGCAAGGAAACCAAAUUUGAAUUCGAUGAGGACUGCCUCAAAUCAUUUCACACCAUCAAAGAUGCUUUGGUAUCUGCUCCCGUUGUUCGAGCGCCUAAUUGGGACUACCCAUUUGAAAUCAUGUGUGAUGCAUCAGAUUACAUAGUAGGAGCUAUUUUAGGCCAGAAAAUAGAUAAGAAGCUUCAUGUCAUAUAUUACGCCAGCCGAACGUUGGAUGAAGCUUAGGGAAGAUAUGCAACAACUGAGAAGGAGGUUCUAGCUGUUGUAUUCGCAUUUGAGAAGUUCAGAAGCAAUUUGGUUGGAUCAAAGGUCACUGUCUAUACAGACCAUGCAGCUUUGAGGCAUCUGUAUGCCAAGAAGGAUACUAAACCAAGACUGGUGAGAUGGAUACUUUUAUUGCAAGAGUUUGACAUGGAGAUAGUAGAUAAGAAAGGCUUUGAAAAUGGUGCAGCUGACCAUCUUUCAAGGAUGAGAAUUGAAGAACCCCUUCCGAUAGACGAUUCAAUGCCAGAAGAGCAGCUCAUGGUUGUAGAGUUCUUCGGAAGGAGCUACAGUGGGAAAGAGUUCCACCAACUGAAUGUUGUUGAAGGAGAAUCUCCAUGGUAUGCUGAUCACGUCAAUUACUUAGCAUGCGGAGUAGAGUCUCCCAACCUGACAAGUUAUGAAAGGAAGAAGUUUUUCAGAGACAUACACCAUUACUACUUGGAUGAGCCUUAUCUUUACACUCUCUGUAAAGAUAAGAUCUACAGGAGAUGUGUCUCAGAAGAUGAAGUGGAAGGUAUCCUGCUGCAUUGCCAUGGCUCAGCAUAUGGUGGUCACUUCGCGACGUUCAAGACAGUGUCCAAGAUUCUUCAAGCGGGCUUUUGGUGGCCAACAAUGUUUAAGGGUGCUCAGGAGUUUGUUUCAAAGUGUGAUUCAUGCCAGAGAAAAGGCAACAUCAGCAGAAGAAAUGAGAUGCCUUAGAAUCCAAUCUUGGAAGUUGAGAUCUUUGAUGUAUGGGGGAUUGAUUUUAUGGGUCCAUUCCCAUCUUCAUACGGUAACAAAUAUAUACUGGUCGUCGUAGACUACGUAUCCAACUGGGUCGAAGCUAUUGCUAGUCCUACCAACGAUGCAAAAGUUUUGCUAAAGCUGUUCAAGACCAUAAUCUUCCCAAGAUUUGGAGUUCCCAGGGUAGUAAUCAGUGAUGGCGGAAAGCAUUUCAUCAACAAGGGUUUUGAGAACCUCUUGAAGAAGCAUGGAGUAAAGCACAAGGUCGCCACUCCCUAUCAUCCACAAACAAGGGGGCAGGUUGAGAUCUCCAACAGGGAGAUAAAAACAAUUCUGGAAAAGACUGUUGGGAUUACAAGGAAAAAUUGGUCUGCAAAGCUAGAUGAUGCGUUAUGGGCUUACAGAACAGCCUUCAAGACCCCCAUUGGUACAACUCCUUUCAAUCUUCUCUAUGGAAAAUCUACAAGGAGAGAACCAAGCUUUUCCGUGACAAGAAGAUCAUCACUAAGGAUUUCCAGGUUGGUGAUCAGGUGCCGCUGUUCAACUCUCGCUUGAAACUCUUCCCAGGAAAACUUAAAUCCAGAUGGUCUGGCCCCUUCUGUAUCACUAAGGUCCGUCCUUAUGGAGCAGUCACUCUAGCUGGUAAGAGUGGAGACUUCACGGUAAAUGGUCAAAGGCUCAAGAAAUACUUAGCAGAUCAAAUCCUUCCAGAGGUAACAUCGGUUCAUCUCCAGGAACUUCUUGAUGAUUAAAGGAGUAAAGGAGUCAAGCUAAUGACUUUAAACAAGCUCACUUGGGGGGAAUUCCCAUGACUAUCUCUGUAAAUAAAUUUUUAUUUUCUUGUUAUUUUUGAUUUGUCUUGGUUGUGUUUGUGGUUCUCAAGAACAAAGGAACAAUGUGGAGAUAGAGUAAAAAUUCAAAACUUUUACUCUACAGAAGACUUGGAGAUCGAGUGUAUAGCCCGUUGGAGUACAAAAUUUUGAAAAUCUUCUGUUACACCUGGAGACCUUGCACUCGAGUACAUUGGUCGAGUAUGUGUGAUGUUUUAAAACCAAAAACUUUUAAAUCAUCAUCUUACUCGACCAACAGAAGCUACAGAGACUUGCAGGGAUUUCCUGCAGUUUACAGUAAGUUUUCUACAAAUUUUCUCAGUCAACAGAUUGUGGGCCACGCGCUGAGGAUAAGCUGGAGAGAGAAUCUAAAACUCAAACUCAACCACUCUUUUUGAAACUUCACUCGACUUAACCAUAUCCACUCGAGCUACCUCUUUUCAUCUCACCACCGACACUCCAAUUUCUCUACACCACGAAUCGCCGCCCAAAUAACUACUCGAUCUAGAAUAAAUCACUCGACCUCCGCAAUGUCACUCGACCUCCCCGCCGCCGUCACCAUUUCAUUCCCUCCGUCCCUCGACCAGACCACUUCAAUCAAUUCCUUAGCUAUACUAGACCAAUUCAUCCACAUCAACCGCCGUCUCUUUCAAAAGAAGCUACUCGACCUCGUUUCCCAAUCUCGUAGCCGCACUCGACCGAUGCCGCCUCGACCACCAUAAAGCACUCGACCCCUGCAAAAGCAACUCGGCUUCUUGUUCUUGAAUUCAACGGAGCUUUUCAACUUCAGAGAAGUUACUCGACCUCUAGGCUUCACGAUUCACUCGACCUACUAAAGCAUUCCAACUCGAAUUCGGAGAAGAUACUCGAUCCAAUUCGUCUAAGGGGAACUCAAGAACAGCUUAGUCUACUCGAGUACAGAAUUGUACUCGAUCAAUAGGGUCUAUUUCAUUGCAUAUUGAUAACAAUUUUGGUUUCAUUGCUAUCUUUGAGACUAACCUAUUGACAUUUGAGCUUUUAGUUCUAAAUUUUUACAGGGGAAUCAUGAGCAAUUAUAGUGGCAGUUCUUCUGUUGAUCCUGACUACAACAUGGAUGAGACAGAGUCGUCAUCUUCAAGGCCUGAGAGAGAACAAAGAGAAUAUGAAAGCUUCAGAAGAAAAGCUGAGAUAGCCCGAGGGAAGAGAGCGAUGACAGAGAGGUAUGAGCUUCUAGACGAAGAUCUGGAAGACGAGUACAUGCCAGAGCAUACUCGCACAGCUACCAAACUUGUGCACAAGCCCGACGUAUUGCCUGCUGAGGAAUAUAUUAGGCUCUUCAAGCUGAAUGAGUUCUGUAGCACGAGGUAUCCUUGCUCGACCACACUUGCACAACUCGGAUUGUUGGAGGAUGUUCAGCACCUGUACCAGAGUUAUCAUCUGGACACUCUGAUGGCUUAUCCGUAUGUAGCAUAUGAAGAUGAGAUAAUUCAAUUUCUCUCCACGCUACAAGUGGAGCUCUACCAAGGUAUGACCUCUGAUGAGUUGGAUUGUGAAGGAUUGGGACUCUUGCGGUUCUGUGUGUAUGGUCAUGAGUAUAGGUUAUCAAUCAAGCGUUUGGAAGGAUUGUUUGGCUUCCCCAGUGGAACGGGAACUAAGCCCAAGUAUGACAGAGAAGAGUUGAAAGACUUGUGGAUCACCAUUGGCAGCUCUGUACCGUUGAAUUCUUCCAGGUCAAAGAGCAAUCAGAUACGCAGCCCUGUCAUCAGGUACUUCUAGCGUUCUAUAGCCAAUGUACUCUACUCCCGAGAGAUCACAUGGACUGUUACUAACUCUGAUAUGGAGAUGAUCGCAAUGGCUCUCAAGGGAACUCUUCGCCAAACUAAGAAUGGCAUGUCUCUCCAAGGUGAAGUCAAUGACACACCUCUCUCUGUACUUCUUCUGAUCCAUCUGUGUGGAUACAAGAGCUGGGCUGUCAGCAAUAACCACAAGAGAGCGCGAGGCGCUUUGUGCAUAGGUGGUGUUAUGACACCGAUUCUGAUAGCUUGUGGAGUCCCAAUCAUUUCUGAUGGACUCGAGCCGCGAGCAAUGGAUAUCGAGCACCUACGUCACUGAGAAUUCCUGGAGUUUGCAAUGGUUGACGACUUGCACAGGUUCAGGUUUGAGAACUCUACAGACAAGAGAGCUAGCAUCCUUCUCCCUAGCCCUAAGGUUACACGGAUAAUAGAGGGAGAUAACAUUGAUUUUCAGCCUGAGGUUGGACACCUCUACUAUGAAAACGCUCCGCCAUUGGAUGAGGAUGAUCUUCUAGAAGAAGCUGCUUUGGAUGGGAUGGAUGAAGACAGAGCAGUGGAGUUCGACACUAGCAUGUAUCACUUUGGUGAACAGAGCUUGAGUGAAGCUCAUAAGAACAACAGUAAACUGUAGAAGUGGUGCAAGAAGCAGAACAAGCUGCUCGCCAAGUGUUUCAAGACUCUCAAGUUUCAGUAACAGUCCACUUCUAUUCCACAGGGACAGCCUCCUCUGGAGAUGCCAUCGAGGAGAUUUGAUGAUCCUGAGCACAGGCGUGAGCUUAGCGAGCAGAGAGUCUCACUGUCCCGGCUAGGCAUUCGUCAUUCGAGUCCCGGGAACACAAGAGAAGAAGGAAGGCUACACUCACUUGAUCUAGCAGCAAAUCACGCCUCAUUCACUCGAGGAGGUCACUCGACCGCGGUGCUGGCCGCAGCAAAAGGAGAGAGGUCGAGUAUCCUCAGAGCGGUGCUGACCGCUACAGACCUGAUGAGGUCGAGUACCCACCUGCUGGAGCUGAUACAAAACAAGGCGGUUUGUCUAUGGCCUGGGAGCAAUCACAGGCAGUCAUUGACGAGCAACUACGUUCAUUCUUCGACUGAGGUAAGCGCCUCACUUCACCAUUGUAUUAUAUCAUCUGUUGUGAUUUGUUUCUUCAUUUUGUUUAUGUGAUUGGAUUUGUCCUGAGUACUCUUUUCCAAGUUUAUUCGCACAGUGGACUGUGUGAUUUAAGUUUGGGGGAGGGCUCAGGAAGUGUGUGUUGCAUUGUAUAUAUUCUUGAGUCUGCAUUCAUCUAAGGCAUAAAAAAAACAAAAA